AAAACCAUCAGAAUAGUGUAGUAAAAAGUUUCUCUUUCUCCAAUCUCCAAUUGUUCAUUUUCUAUUUUUCAGCUUCUGUAAUUGGUAUGAUGUGAUAUUUCCAGCGUUUAUAAGCUUAUAUCUGUAUUUUAAAGACACACAAACUAUACACAAAUUAUUCCAUUUUCACAUACUACUGCUGAGUCCUAGAGAUCAUUCAGCAAUAGUGUUCACGGAAGAGCCACAUUUACUGGUUGGGUAGUAUUCCAUUUUGAUGGACUUGGAUUUAUUUUUAGUCCUUUUUCUAAAAAUUACUGCAAGCUUUUAUUCUAAAUGUACCAGGUAUUAUAUGUAUAAAUGAUUUUCAUGGUUUGAAAAAAUUCUGAUAAUUAUUUUUGUAUUGAACCUAUAAAAAGAAGUGUAUCUGAAGUAAACUUCUCAUGGACUCUCUUGAGCUACAACUCAAGACUACUUUUAAUGGUAAUUAUAUUUAUCAGAUCAAUUAUUAAAGGAUUUGAAGUGAGGGACCAAAAUGUUCAGAUGAGCAUUUUUAAAAGUCACUUUAGAGCAGAUUAAAAGUAGAAUAAAGUUAAAGCCAGAAAUAUAUUAGAAGGGUGAUACCAUAGUUCUGAAUUUGGAUAUUGGUAGUUGACAAGUCUUGGUGAUUUGAUGGAAAAGCAUACAGAGAGGACAAAAUUGGAGAUAUUGUUCCAAUCUUUCCCCUUAUGUGAGGAUCCAUAUGAUGAAGAUUUUAAUUUUUAGUUGUGACAUGUUAAAUAAAUGGCUGUUACGGGCUGGAGAGAUGGUUCAGUGGGUAAGAGCACUGACUGCUCUUCCAAAGGUCCUGAGUUCGGUUCCCAGCAACCAUAUGGUGGCUCACAACCAUCUGUAAUGACAUCCAAUGCUCUCUUCUGUUAUGUCUGAAGACAGCUACACUGUACUCAUAUAAAUAAAAUAAAUCUUUAAAAAAAUAAAUAAAUGGCUGUUAUGUAGUGAAUUUGUGUCAGAAAUUCAUAACAUCAGGUUCUGUGCCAGUAGUAAAUUUUGGAGGCAAAGAUGUAUAGUUACAAGGAAGAGAUUUCAGGCAGAAACUCAAUAUUUAGAGCAUAUAAAUACCUAGAUUAAGUUCUUUUAAGAAAUUAUUAGUAGUGAAAAACUACAAUCUAAUGUGUUGUUUUUACCACUAGUAUUACUGUUUUAAAGAUUUAUUUUUGUUUGUUAGAGUAUCUGUGUGUGCCUGUGUGUAUUUGAGUGCAUUGUUUGAGGAGACCAGAAGAGCAUGUCCAAAUUCCCUGAGCUGGAGUUAGAGGCAGUUGGAGCAACUGGACUAGGUUCUGGUAACCUCAGUAGGGUCCUCUACAAGCGCAGGUUGAGAUCUUAACCUCUCAACAAUCUCUCCAGCCCCACUAGUAUUACUUUUUGUAAAAGGGUCUCGUGCCCUUCAGGCUGACCUCAAAACUCACUAUGUAGCCUAGGCUGGCCCUGAACUUCUUAACUUUAUCUCUGGAAUGCUAGGAUUGUAUGAAUGUGCUACCAUGUUUCUUUCAUGGAGCGCUAGAAAUUGAAUCCAUGACUUUGUGUGUGCUAGGCAGACACUUUAUCAAUCGAGCUAUGUCUUGAGUCUGAUUAUUUUUAGAGAUAGUGUUUUCUCAUUUAGCCUAGUUGUCCUAGAAUUCUCAAUUUAGCUUCAUCUGAUCUCAAAUUCUUGAGCAUAUUAUUAUAUUAUAGGUGCUACAACAGAGGGCUAAACAAUUUUUUUCUUUAGUUAAUUUAGUGAUAUAUAGUUUUUGAGGAGAUGGUAUAAAUUCAUUGUUUUUUGUUUUUUUUCUUUUUAAAUUCGAUGAUGAUCUUGAUGCAUUGUACAUGUCUAUUGGUGUUCUUGCUUCAGAUACCUAAUUUAGGUAGCUGGAACUGCAAAUGUGUAUCAUGUUCAGCUAAAUUUACAUGUUUUAAAAGAAAUAUAGCUAUAGUAGAAAUUAGUAAUAUAAGCCUCCAUCUUUUAAAAUCAUUUGUAAUUAUAUAGAUGCUUGUUCAAUCUUUAUUAUUUUCAAAGAAGUGCAGAAAGGUUGAGAAUAAGAUUGACCAAGAAUUUUAAUAUUUUUUGCUGGACAUGGUGGCACACACCUUUAAUCCCAGCACUCGGGAGGCAGAGGCAGGUGGAUUUCUGGGUUCGAGGCCAGCCUGGUCUACAGAGUGAGUUCCAGGACAGCCAGAGCUAUACAGAGAAGCCCUGUCUCGAAAACAAAACAAAAAAAAGAAUUUUAAUAUUUUUUAAAUUUAAAUGAUUGAAUUUCUUAGGUAUAUAACAGUUUAAAGAAAACAGUCAGACUUUUCAGAUAUUUUAAAAAUAUAUCAACUUGAGUCAAGUAUGUUAUUAUAGACCUGUAAGGCCAAACUGGCUAUAUAGAAAGACUGUCUC
rnacentral:lncRNA from 1 species